rnacentral:rRNA from 1 species
CCUACGGGAGGCUGCAGUAGGGAAUAUUGCUCAAUGGGGGAAACCCUGAAGCAGCAACGCCGCGUGGAGGAUGAAGGUUCUCGGAUUGUAAACUCCUUUUGUUAGGGAAGAUAAUGACGGUAUCUAACGAAUAAGCAACGGCUAACUCCGUGCCAGCAGCCGCGGUAAUGCGGAGGGUGCAAGCGUUAAUCGGAUUCACUGGGGGGAAAGCGCGCGUAGGCGGGCUAGCAAGUCAGGUGUGAAAACCUAUGGGUUAACCAUAGGACUGCAUUUUAAACUGGUAUGCUAGAGUAUGAGAGGGGUAGGUGGAAUUCUUGGUGUAGGGGUAAAAUCCGU